CCUACGGGCGGCAGCAGUGAGGAAUAUUGGUCAAUGGACGAAAGUCUGAACCAGCCAAGUCGCGUGAAGGAUGAAUGCCCUAUGGAUUGUAAACUUCUUUUAUAAAGGAAUAAAACGUGGCACGUGUCCCGUUUUGCAUGUACUUUAUGAAUAAGGAUCGGCUAACUCCGUGCCAGCAGCCGCGGUAAUACGGAGGAUCCGAGCGUUAUCCGGAUUUAUUGGGUUUAAAGGGUGCGUAGAUGGGUUGUUAAGUCAGUUGUGAAAGUUUGCGGCUCAACCGUAAAAUUGCAAUUGAUACUGGCAGGCUUGAGUACAGUUGAGGUAGGCGGAAUUCGUGGUGUAGCGGUGAAAUGCUUAGAUAUCACGAAGAACCCCGAUUGCGAAGGCAGCUUACUAAGCUGUGACUGACGUUGAUGCACGAAAGUGUGGGUAUCAAACAGGAUUAGAUACCCGAGUAGUC
rnacentral:rRNA from 1 species